AUUGAUCAACGACAAUCGGUGGCAUAUGGAAUGCGUGAUGGAAAUUUUCUGGUGCUUGAUAGCCAAUAUACUACAAGAUUACAUUAAGAAGCUAAUAGAGGGCAGAGCUGUUGGUGAGGAAGGUGUCGAGUUACUGCAGUACUGCAACUGGGAAAAUCCACAUUUCGCACGUGCCCCACUCGUAUGGAAUAGUAGCUUAUGUCAAAAUGUGGUUUUAGUAUAAUGCGGCAUCGCAGCAUACCCUCACUGGCACCGAGCCGUUGAAGAAAUUUUG